GUGGGGAAUAUUGCACAAUGGGGGAAACCCUGAUGCAGCGACGCCGCGUGAGCGAAGAAGGCCUUCGGGUCGUAAAGCUCUGUCCUAAGGGAAGAAACGGACGGUACCUUAGGAGGAAGCCCCGGCUAACUACGUGCCAGCAGCCGCGGUAAUACGUAGGGGGCGAGCGUUAUCCGGAAUUACUGGGCGUAAAGGGUGCGUAGGCGGCCUUUUAAGUCAGAUGUGAAAGGCUACGGCUUAACCGUAGUUAGCAUUUGAAACUAAGAGGCUUGAGUGCAGGAGAGGAGAGUGGAAUUCCUAGUGUAGCGGUGAAAUGCGUAGAUAUUAGGAGGAACACCAGUGGCGAAGGCGACUCUCUGGACUGCAACUGACGCUGAGGCACGAAAGCGUGGGUAGCGAACAGGAUUAGAAACCCUGGUAGUCC
rnacentral:rRNA from 1 species